CACGUAGGGUGCGAGCGUUGUCCGGAAUUAUUGGGCGUAAAGAGCUCGUAGGCGGUGUGUCGCGUCGGCCGUGAAAACCUGCAGCUCAACUGUGGGCUUGCGGUCGAUACGGGCAUCACUGGAGUUCGGCAGGGGAGACUGGAAUUCCUGGUGUAGCGGUGAAAUGCGCAGAUAUCAGGAGGAACACCGGUGGCGAAGGCGGGUCUCUGGGCCGUAACUGACGCUGAGGAGCGAAAGCAUGGGGAGCGAACAGG
rnacentral:rRNA from 1 species